CUACGGUGGCAGCAGUGGGGAAUAUUGGACAAUGGGCGAAAGCCUGAUCCAGCCAUGCCGCGUGUGUGAAGAAGGCCUUCGGGUUGUAAAGCACUUUCAGUGGGGAAGAAAGCCUUGGGGCUAAUACCCUCGAGGAAGGACAUCACCCACAGAAGAAGCACCGGCUAACUCCGUGCCAGCAGCCGCGGUAAUACGGAGGGUGCGAGCGUUAAUCGGAAUUACUGGGCGUAAAGCGCGCGUAGGCGGUCUGAUAAGCCGGUUGUGAAAGCCCCGGGCUCAACCUGGGAACGGCAUCCGGAACUGUCAGGCUAGAGUGCAGGAGAGGAAGGUAGAAUUCCCGGUGUAGCGGUGAAAUGCGUAGAGAUCGGGAGGAAUACCAGUGGCGAAGGCGGCCUUCUGGACUGACACUGACGCUGAGGUGCGAAAGCGUGGGUAGCAAACAGGAUUAGAUACCCUGGUAGUC
rnacentral:rRNA from 1 species